UUGCUCUCUCACUCUUUGAAGGACGUUUACAUCUCAGAACAUAGUUGAUGACUCUUCUGAGUACAUUGUCCUGCUCUUGGAGACUGGAGAGUCUAGAAAACGGGAUUGCUACAGACGGGUCUUCAGAAGGAAGCUGGAGUGAUGUUGGACUGG